CAGAACGUGCUAAAUAAAGUAUGGAUUGAUCCGGUUCCUUUCUCAUGUAGAUGUGCGUAUGCGAAACCACAACAGCCUACGUGAUAAGGUUCAUGUAAUGUGUAACGGAGUAUUUGGCUUCCACAUAUGUGUACCUAUUUACUUUCACUUUUACUUCCACCGAGCAUGGUUUUAUCACCCGGAAAGCCAAAAGCCACCUGAGUUUGCGCUAUUAAAAACUUAUCUCGCCACUUCACUUCCUGAUUGAUCUCGUUAAACGAGAGUACUUUACUUGUUCAACAACUACUAGUUGAACACCUCGGCUGACAUGUGGAAAGCUGGAACUUUCUCCAAAUCAAUAAACUCUGGACUCGCAUAAGUAAAUAUGCAUGUUGACUUAACACCUCAUUUUCAUUCGAGCAGGGGUAUAUAUCUGGAGAAGGAGGAUUAACAAUGCUAAUUUAGCAUUGCUUGACUGAAUUAAAUUUAACUGUCACCAAGGUGAUCAAUCAUGGAACAUCUUGGGAUAGAAGGGACGCCUAAAUGUAUCGCAAACACGGCCUACAUCGCCACCGCGAUCACCAGCCUAUUCAUGGGUGCAUCUUUUUGGGACGAGGUCUACUGUCCCUACCAAAACGUGGCCCUUCUCCUGCUCACAUUUGGCCUCGGAGCAGUCCUGAUUCCGCCGGUUUUGUGGAUCUUCCAAUUUUGGAAGGAGGUGGGGGACGACUACGAGACGCGGACCUGGUUCCACCUGUCCGACGUCUCUCUCAUCCUCCUCGUGACCGCAGCCAUUUCAUCGUUCGUCGGCUGGUUGACGCUGUCAUCACUUCGGAUUUACGGGCUUUGGAUGAAGGUGCAGUUCGUGCAUGUGGGGGAAAACUCGUAUUGUGACCCCGCUCUGUUUUGGUAUGCGUUUAGCGUAAAUUCGGUUAUCCUUGCCGGAUAUUUUAUGGGGGUGGUGGUCAGCGUGGUGAACUACAAAUGGUGGUUGAAUUAAAAGCUGCAGUAACUAAUAUAUGCAGUCAAUCAAGUGAUUGGAUAGAUUCUAGAACUAGUCAAUUCGAAAAAAAUUGUUUCGAGGUUACAAAGUUGGUCAAACUUUUAGGAAAUUUACAGGGUUUCGUCGGAUUAAAAUACCGUCUUCGCGAUUAUAUUGCCCAAGUUGUAUUAGGGACGCACAAAUCAAAAUGGAUACGCUUCCUGUCAACAUAUGUAUGUAAUACUGUCUAUGUACAUACAUAAAUACGUACGUACUUUGGUAUUUGAGAACAAUUUAAUUCUUUACAUUUAUACUGUAAACAAAGCAAAACAAUUGUAGAAUCUCAUCCUAGAAGGUUAAGCGUUUAUUAAAUACUUCAUAAUCUUUAUCAUUAUUAACAAUUUAUUGUGAUGAAUAAUGUCAGUAUCCUGUAACAUAAUAAAUCUUUUUUAUGUAUGA